CGAAUUCAAACUUGCAGAACCAAAAUAAGAAGAUAGAGAGAAGUCGACGUAGCUUUGCUGCAGGGUUAAAACUCCAAACUAUGGUUUCUCCUUCGGUUAACUUUCUCCGCGCGGAAACGCAUAAAUACCUACCAUUGCCUCUCCUCUCUCUCUCUUCCUGUCUCUCUCAAAUGUAUCUUCUCCAAUUUGCAAUGAUGGAGGAAAAGGCGAUUGAACCCUAUUGGCCUCGUUUCCGAUCCAAAUCUGUGGUGUUGACGCACGCCGCUGCUGAUAUGGAAUCCGAUUCCGGCGAUUCUGCCUUUGUGAUUAGCUUCGGAUCGUAUGUUAUCUAUCAAAUGGUAUUAUAUGCGCAGCGGUGUAUGGAUGAGAAUGAUAUGCCAACAAUUUUCAACAAUAUGUUUUUUUCACGCUAAAUUAAGCUCAGAAGGCUCAUAGUUGGGAGAAUGUGUUGGCUACAACUUUGUCAUGUCUACACUUGAAAUCUUCCUAACGAAGCACAUACUGUCCAUAAAUCAAAAUCUAUGGCGCAUUGCGAGAGAAUAAAGUUCCCAGAAAAGCUAUGGCUGAAGUUACCGUUAGUCAGCCCCCAUUCAUGUUCUCUACUUACAAUGGGCUCACUUUUUGCUGCAUCAAAAACAAAAUAUAGCCGAUAGUUUUGUAAACUUUUCACUGAGAUUUUACCAUUUCUUCAUAGAUGCUUCCAUUAGAUUUGGCACUCUUGAGUGUCUUUACUCUCUUUUCCAAGUUUUGGUGAAGCCAUGUAGCACUUUAUACAAA